UAAAAAGGGCUUUAGAAAUGAAUUACAUAUGGAAUCCCAUGAUGCGCAGUGUGACGUGUUUACUCCCUCCGUGCACAGCUAGCUAGUAUAAUUUCAUCACCGUGAUCAUGGUAUUGAACUGAAGGCCGUCACUUUACCAAGUGGGUGGAGGCAAUACCCAUUAGGGUCAGUAAGGGAAAGAAGAGUACGUGCUUAAAUCUAAAUUCCCUUCUGUGAACCAUUAAAGGUGCUUGGAACCAAAAAUAGAUUUUUGUUUUGUAUGAUACCCAUCAAGGACGAGACUGGCGAGGCCACCUCCAAGACGACGGUGGACAUCAACACCCACGGUUUGGUGACUGGACCAACGAGACCCUCAAGACCGCCAUGGGCAAGUCCCUUGAUUGGUACCAGGAAGGAUGUGAGAACAACCUGAAGAUCCCUGAAACCCCAUCUGAUGUGGUGGAAGUUUUUGGACCAUCGACUGGCCGAGCCCCCCAGGAGGUAUCCCAUCCACCAGAACCAGUGAGUUCGGAUCAGUUUGGUUUGCUGUGCUCUGAGUCGGAGUGGGACCAGUUAGGCUAUAUCUUCCAAAAGUGUUGAAGUACAUAUCUCCCAUUUGUAACACUGCACCAAUCCAUGACAUGUUCUCAGUGUAACCUGUGUGUUUGCUUGUUUGUGUCUGUCUCCUACCUUGUUCCCUUUAACUCUGCUCCUGUUCUCAAGAGAGCAGCAGUGCCUGGACUUUGCAGUCCCCCUUCCGAGACUGGCUGCCUGUUGAGAACAAGGGACAGGCAGAACCUCCCACCCACACAGCAACCACCACCUCUAUAUUCCACA